rnacentral:tRNA from 1 species
GGAGGGUACAGCUUAGUGGUAGAGCUCAUGCUUAGCAUGCAUGAGGUCCUGGGUCCUAUCCCCAGCACCUCUG